ensembl:lncRNA
CAGGCUAGCAGGAGGCGAAGCGGAGCCCGGGCUCAGGCACGGGGAGUGAUGCACCUUUACAGUUGCGGUUGGAGAUUUACAGAGAUAGAUGAGAAGCAAUCCUCUGAGAGAGGAGAGAAACGGGGAUUUGGUGGGAGGCAAGGCAAUGCUAGGGUCAUCCAAGAAGGCUGUGGUCGCAAAGCCAGCAAAUCUGGUGAUACCGUUUAAUGAUAAAUGCCCUCUGAAAGGCUUGCUGAAUUCAAGAUGCUGAGGCUGAACAGAGGAACUGGCGACUAGAAUCCAGAAGGUCGAGGGCAGGCUUGAGGAACUGUUGUUGGUCUCCCCUAGAGCCUUCUACCCAGCAGGGGAUGCAAGCCUGAACAACUACACCAAUACAAAGAACCAAGGGAAGCCAAAGGAGGCCCUAGCCAGCUUGCAGGUGGAAGAAAGGAAAAGCAGGCAUAUGGAACUGAGCAGCAAAGCCAGCCCCAAAGGAGAACAGUGGGAACUGGGUUUUGGAGGCGAGUGCGGUUUUAGAGCCAGUCUCUGGUCCGUUCCCAGGAGACAAGCCAUCGAAUUAACCUAAUGAAGCACAGGAUAGCACAGCCUCAGACCAGCGCAGCUGAACACAAUCUUCUUGGCAGGCAGAGAAAAGAAACGUCAAAAUAAGGAGCAGAGGCUGGGGGGAGGGCGGCUGCUUGAAGCUGGAGGGGUUGGACAGAAGGAAAGAAAAUCCCAGCCCGAGACUCUGAUAAAGCUCGCUCUUUCCACCCAGACACGCGGCCUAAGGAUGUGUCUCAGAGCCUCAACGGAAAGGCAUCAAGCCACAGAUUAGUACUCACAUGUGUGAUGCUUUCCGCGUUUCUGAGCAUUCACAGGCACAGCCUCUCAUUCGGUAUUCACAGAAGUCCCAAGACAGCCGAACGAGUGCCAUCUUGACUGGAUGAGCUGGAUUAAAUUAUUCGUACCAAGGAACUAGGACUCCCUGCCGUUAACAGUCUCCCAAGAAGGCAUAUCAAGCCAUCUCUAAUGGGAUUCACAGAACUCCAGCCAGGACACUGAGGGAAGUUGACUGAGACAGCCUGGGAUCACCAGGAAACAUGAGACCUCAGGUACAAACCAGAUUUCACAAGUCAGAGGCAAGGAGAAAAGCUGAAAGCCUCUGACAUUAAGAGAAGCAGGAGGUGGACUUCCCCAACAGUUCAGUGUCAAGACAGCGCUGCCAACGCAGGAGGCAUGGGUUUCAUCCCUGGUUGAGGAAGAUCCUGAAUGCUGUGUGGCAGUCUCCCCCAUCAAAGAAAAAGAGAGAAAGAGGCAGGAGACAGGCAGGAGACCCUGAAGAACAAUCUUUUGCCCAACUCACCUGGAAACUUUCAUCAACCAGGCCAGCUUAUCAGUUAAUAUUCUUGUUGCCCAGUGGGGAGAAGGAGCCAGGUGGUGAGAUGUGUGUAACUCCUGCCAAGACCAGAUGCUGGAGGAGCCACCAGCCCUCUGCAGUGGCUCAUGGGCUAAGUUGGGGCCUGAGCACUGUGUCAAGAGAAUGCCUUCCUGUUACAAGGCUUACUUAGGAUAAAUGAGGCGGCACUGUUACAGGUACAGCCCUGUCGGUGCCAAUUCCCUGGGGGACCUUGGGAAGGAGCCACAUUCCCUCACAGUCAACCCUAAAGGAAAUCAACCCUGAAUAUUCACUGGAAAGGACUGAUGCUGAAGCCGAAGCUCCAAUGCUUUGGCCACCUGAUGUGAAGAGCUGACUCACUGGAAGACUCUGGUGCUGGGAAAGACUGAAGGCAAAAGGAGAAGGUAGAGGAUGAAAUGGUUAGGCAGCAUCACCGACUCAAUGGACAGGAUUUUGAGCAAACUCUGGGAGACAGUGAAGGACAGGGGAGACUGGCAUGCUCUAGUCUCUGGGGUUGCAAAGAAUCAGACACAACUUAGCAACUGAAUAACAACGAGAAGAGAUGACCCACCUGGUCUGGGGAGGACUCAAGGCAGGACAAGCACCAGGGCUCCUUAGGGAGACAGGUCAGUGCUAGGAGACCAGAGACUGGAAGAAAGGCAUGCAGCGGUGCGCUCCAUGCUAGGGGAGCAUAUCUCCAGUGGGGAGAGUACCCCGAAAACCCAGGAAACAAACCAGGAAUCUGUCCCUUGUGAGCCAGACUGUUUUUAUUUUUCAUAUACCUUAUCUUUAGCUUUCUUUUAUUCUCCUUUUAUAUUUAUUAAUGUCUUCUGGAAAGGUCAGCCUGUGACAGUUAUGUUAAUGAAAACCCAAAGGAGGUGUCUGCAUCCACGCCUGGACCAGGAGAUUAAAGGGAGCGAUGUCGUCUCUCUCCCCCGGGACUGGAGGUGCAGAGAAGCCCAGGGGUGGGCCCCUCGCUCAGCCUGCAUCCUCCGGAGUCACUUUUCCAGCAGAAGGCAGAGCUGUGCGAUCCAGUCAGAGGCCCUGAGCUUGCACCCUGCCCAGUGCCACAGAGGCGCUCCGAGCGCCAACCCCCUCGGACGCAGUCCUGCCCUGUGCCCGCAUUUUCCCCGGGCUCACUAACAGUCAGCUCCAGGGGGCAGAGAGCAGGUGGCUGGUAAACUGUCGAGACCAGUGCACACCUGCUUCCGUUCCUCCCUGGCUCUGGCUAAGCCACCGUCCUUGUCACCGCGGAGCUGAUAAUACGCUGUGAAUGACCCAGGCAGGACCCCUGCGGGGAAAGAGCCCCAAGGUUGCUAGGCAGGUAAUCUGCUUUACCACUUCAGCCAAGUGGCAAUGUCAGCUGCUGUGAGGACCGCAAAGGCAGCCUUCCCCUCGCCCUGCCUCGGCCCCUUGCCCUGGGGUGAGCGGAGCCAGGCUGGGGAGCAAGGAGCCCUCCCUAGUCCCAUCUGCAGAGAGUGGUUGACCCUCCCGGACUUGGCCUGAGUUAUACACUCCCUGCUAAGAUAAAAACUGUCAUGACAUCCUGAUGUUGCUGGUCAGGAUGUCCAGUAAUCAUGGACAUCAUGAUAUUACUGGUGUCAACUCUGGGAACAUGGAGAGGAGGCACAGGGAGACCAUGCGAGUCCCAAGGGAGGGAUACCUCUCGACUGGCUUAAUUACCUGCCC